GAACGCUGGCGGUAUGCUUAACGCAUGCAAGUCGUACGCAAGUUUUUAACUUGAGUGGCGGACGGGUGAGUAACACGUGAGAAUUCACCUUUAGGAGGGGAAUAACAAUUGGAAACGAUUGCUAAUGCCCCACUAUGCUCGUAAGAGUGAAAGGAAAGCAAUAGCUUAAUUCCGCCUAAAGAGAAGCUCGCGGCUGAUUAGCUAGUUGGUAAGGUAAUGGCUUACCAAGGCGACGAUCAGUAGCUGGUUUGUAGAGAACGAUCAGCCACACUGGAACUGAGACACGGUCCAGACU
rnacentral:rRNA from 1 species